UACGGAAGGCAGCAGUGGGGAAGUAUUGCACAAUGGGCGCAAGCCUGAUGCAGCCAUGCCGCGUGUAUGAAGAAGGCCUUCGGGUUGUAAAGUACUUUCAGUCGUGAGGAAGGUGUUAAGGUUAAUAACCUUAGCAAUUGACGUUAGCGACAGAAGAAGCACCGGCUAACUCCGUGCCAGCAGCCGCGGUAAUACGGAGGGUGCGAGCGUUAAUCGGAAUUACUGGGCGUAAAGGGCACGCAGGCGGUUAAUUAAGUUGGAUGUGAAAUCCCCGGGCUUAACCUGGGAAUGGCAUUCAAGACUGGUUAGCUAGAGUCUUGUAGAGGGGGUAGAAUUCCAUGUGUAGCGGUGAAAUGCGUAGAGAUGUGGAGGAAUACCGGUGGCGAAGGCGGCCCCUGGACAAAGACUGACGCUCAUAGUGCGAAAGCGUGGGGAGGCAAACAGGGAUUAGAU
rnacentral:rRNA from 1 species